rnacentral:rRNA from 1 species
UACGAAGGGGGCUAGCGUUGCUCGGAAUCACUGGGCGUAAAGCGCACGUAGGCGGAUUGCUAAGUCAGGGGUGAAAUCCUGGAGCUCAACUCCAGAACUGCCUUUGAUACUGGCGAUCUCGAGUUCGGGAGAGGUGAGUGGAACUGCGAGUGUAGAGGUGAAAUUCGUAGAUAUUCGCAAGAACACCAGUGGCGAAGGCGGCCCACUGGAUCGGUACUGACGCUGAGGUGCGAAAGCGUGGGGAGCAAACAGG